UGCCUAACACAUGCAAGUCGAACGAACUCUGGUAUUGAUUGGUGCUUGCAUCAUGAUUUACAUUUGAGUGAGUGGCGAACUGGUGAGUAACACGUGGGAAACCUGCCCAGAAGCGGGGGAUAACACCUGGAAACAGAUGCUAAUACCGCAUAACAACUUGGACCGCAUGGUCCGAGUUUGAAAGAUGGCUUCGGCUAUCACUUUUGGAUGGUCCCGCGGCGUAUUAGCUAGAUGGUGGGGUAACGGCUCACCAUGGCAAUGAUACGUAGCCGACCUGAGAGGGUAAUCGGCCACAUUGGGACUGAGACACGGCCCAAACUCCUACGGGAGGCAGCAGUAGGGAAUCUUCCACAAUGGACGAAAGUCUGAUGGAGCAACGCCGCGUGAGUGAAGAAGGGUUUCGGCUCGUAAAACUCUGUUGUUAAAGAAGAACAUAUCUGAGAGUAACUGUUCAGGUAUUGACGGUAUUUAACCAGAAAGCCACGGCUAACUACGUGCCAGCAGCCGCGGUAAUACG
rnacentral:rRNA from 2 species